rnacentral:lncRNA from 1 species
AGGCCAGUGCAGUUAUGUUCCUUGGGGGAUUAUGGCUGUCUGUUCUGCAUCACACAGGUUGCCAGGGAAAUGGGGGAAAGAUGGCAGCCACAGACCUCACCCACCUCCCACUCAGCCCAUGGCCUGAAAGGCCAGUUUCACUCCCACCAUGCCCCCAGCCCCACCCAAAAGCACUGAGUUUAUUUCUAGGCAGCUGAUGAGCAGGACUGAGAACUUGCCCCAGGCUACAAGCCUCCCAACUGAGAAAGCAAGGGGACUCACAGUUCCUCGGCUGCCCAUGGAACCUGCAGUGGCAAUCAACUGUCUUCAACGCAUCUGUGGAUUCUCUCAGCUUUCCUGAGGAAGAGCAGAAUAUCUACUUUUAAUCGCUGUUGAAAGAACUAACCAAGAUAACUCACAGAAUACGUCUGGC